CCUACGGGAGGCAGCAGUGGGGAAUAUUGGACAAUGGGCGCAAGCCUGAUCCAGCAAUGCCGCGUGAGUGAUGAAGGCCUUAGGGUCGUAAAGCUCUUUUACCAGGGAUGAUAAUGACAGUACCUGGAGAAUAAGCUCCGGCUAACUCCGUGCCAGCAGCCGCGGUAAUACGGAGGGAGCUAGCGUUGUUCGGAAUUACUGGGCGUAAAGCGUACGUAGGCGGUUAUUCAAGUCAGAGGUGAAAGCCCGGGGCUCAACCCCGGAACGGCCUUUGAAACUAGGUAGCUAGAAUCUUGGAGAGGUCAGUGGAAUUCCGAGUGUAGAGGUGAAAUUCGUAGAUAUUCGGAAGAACACCAGUGGCGAAGGCGACUGACUGGACAAGUAUUGACGCUGAGGUACGAAAGCGUGGGGAGCAAACAGGAUUAGAUACCCUGGUAGUCCACGCCGUAAACGAUGAUAACUAGCUGUUCGGGCACUUGGUGCUUGAGUGGCGCAGCUACGACAUUAAGUUAUCCGUCCGUCGGGUAGGUACGGUCGGCGAAGAAGUUAAACUAACGAAAGGAAAGUUAGUAACGGUCGUGUUAGACGUGCCGAACGGACGACGACGAGGGGAGGAGG
rnacentral:rRNA from 1 species